rnacentral:rRNA from 1 species
GGUUAAGCGACUAAGCGUACACGGUGGAUGCCCUGGCAGUCAGAGGCGAUGAAGGACGUGCUAAUCUGCGAUAAGCGUCGGUGAGGUGAUAUGAACCGUUAUAACCGGCGAUUUCCGAAUGGGGAAACCCAGUGUGUUUCGACACACUAUCAUUAACUGAAUCCAUAGGUUAAUGAGGCGAACCGGGGGAACUGAAACAUCUAAGUACCCCGAGGAAAAGAAAUCAACCGAGAUUCCCCCAGUAGCGGCGAGCGAACGGGGAGGAGCCCAGAGCCUGAAUCAGUGUGUGUGUUAGUGGAAGCGUCUGGAAAGGCGCGCGAUACAGGGUGACAGCCCCGUACACAAAAAUGCACAUAUUGUGAGCUCGAUGAGUAGGGCGGGACACGUGGUAUCCUGUCUGAAUAUGGGGGGACCAUCCUCCAAGGCUAAAUACUCCUGACUGACCGAUAGUGAACCAGUACCGUGAGGGAAAGGCGAAAAGAACCCCGGCGAGGGGAGUGAAAAAGAACCUGAAACCGUGUACGUACAAGCAGUGGGAGCCUCUUAAUGGGGUGACUGCGUACCUUUUGUAUAAUGGGUCAGCGACUUAUAUUCUGUAGCAAGGUUAACCGAAUAGGGGAGCCGAAGGGAAACCGAGUCUUAACUGGGCGUUAAGUUGCAGGGUAUAGACCCGAAACCCGGUGAUCUAGCCAUGGGCAGGUUGAAGGUUGGGUAACACUAACUGGAGGACCGAACCGACUAAUGUUGAAAAAUUAGCGGAUGACUUGUGGCUGGGGGUGAAAGGCCAAUCAAACCGGGAGAUAGCUGGUUCUCCCCGAAAGCUAUUUAGGUAGCGCCUCGUGAAUUCAUCUCCGGGGGUAGAGCACUGUUUCGGCAAGGGGGUCAUCCCGACUUACCAACCCGAUGCAAACUGCGAAUACCGGAGAAUGUUAUCACGGGAGACACACGGCGGGUGCUAACGUCCGUCGUGAAGAGGGAAACAACCCAGACCGCCAGCUAAGGUCCCAAAGUCAUGGUUAAGUGGGAAACGAUGUGGGAAGGCCCAGACAGCCAGGAUGUUGGCUUAGAAGCAGCCAUCAUUUAAAGAAAGCGUAAUAGCUCACUGGUCGAGUCGGCCUGCGCGGAAGAUGUAACGGGGCUAAACCAUGCACCGAAGCUGCGGCAGCGACGCUUAUGCGUUGUUGGGUAGGGGAGCGUUCUGUAAGCCUGUGAAGGUGGCCUGUGAGGGUUGCUGGAGGUAUCAGAAGUGCGAAUGCUGACAUAAGUAACGAUAAAGCGGGUGAAAAGCCCGCUCGCCGGAAGACCAAGGGUUCCUGUCCAACGUUAAUCGGGGCAGGGUGAGUCGACCCCUAAGGCGAGGCCGAAAGGCGUAGUCGAUGGGAAACAGGUUAAUAUUCCUGUACUUGGUGUUACUGCGAAGGGGGGACGGAGAAGGCUAUGUUGGCCGGGCGACGGUUGUCCCGGUUUAAGCGUGUAGGCUGGUUUUCCAGGCAAAUCCGGAAAACCAAGGCUGAGGCGUGAUGACGAGGCACUACGGUGCUGAAGCGACAAAUGCCCUGCUUCCAGGAAAAGCCUCUAAGCAUCAGGUAACAUCAAAUCGUACCCCAAACCGACACAGGUGGUCAGGUAGAGAAUACCAAGGCGCUUGAGAGAACUCGGGUGAAGGAACUAGGCAAAAUGGUGCCGUAACUUCGGGAGAAGGCACGCUGAUAUGUAGGUGAAGCGACUUGCUCGUGGAGCUGAAAUCAGUCGAAGAUACCAGCUGGCUGCAACUGUUUAUUAAAAACACAGCACUGUGCAAACACGAAAGUGGACGUAUACGGUGUGACGCCUGCCCGGUGCCGGAAGGUUAAUUGAUGGGGUUAGCGGUAACGCGAAGCUCUUGAUCGAAGCCCCGGUAAACGGCGGCCGUAACUAUAACGGUCCUAAGGUAGCGAAAUUCCUUGUCGGGUAAGUUCCGACCUGCACGAAUGGCGUAAUGAUGGCCAGGCUGUCUCCACCCGAGACUCAGUGAAAUUGAACUCGCUGUGAAGAUGCAGUGUACCCGCGGCAAGACGGAAAGACCCCGUGAACCUUUACUAUAGCUUGACACUGAACAUUGAGCCUUGAUGUGUAGGAUAGGUGGGAGGCUUUGAAGUGUGGACGCCAGUCUGCAUGGAGCCGACCUUGAAAUACCACCCUUUAAUGUUUGAUGUUCUAACGUGGGCCCCUAAUCGGGGUUGCGGACAGUGUCUGGUGGGUAGUUUGACUGGGGCGGUCUCCUCCUAAAGAGUAACGGAGGAGCACGAAGGUUGGCUAAUCCUGGUCGGACAUCAGGAGGUUAGUGCAAUGGCAUAAGCCAGCUUGACUGCGAGCGUGACGGCGCGAGCAGGUGCGAAAGCAGGUCAUAGUGAUCCGGUGGUUCUGAAUGGAAGGGCCAUCGCUCAACGGAUAAAAGGUACUCCGGGGAUAACAGGCUGAUACCGCCCAAGAGUUCAUAUCGACGGCGGUGUUUGGCACCUCGAUGUCGGCUCAUCACAUCCUGGGGCUGAAGUAGGUCCCAAGGGUAUGGCUGUUCGCCAUUUAAAGUGGUACGCGAGCUGGGUUUAGAACGUCGUGAGACAGUUCGGUCCCUAUCUGCCGUGGGCGCUGGAGAACUGAGGGGGGCUGCUCCUAGUACGAGAGGACCGGAGUGGACGCAUCACUGGUGUUCGGGUUGUCAUGCCAAUGGCACUGCCCGGUAGCUAAAUGCGGAAGAGAUAAGUGCUGAAAGCAUCUAAGCACGAAACUUGCCCCGAGAUGAGUUCUCCCUGAGACUUAGAGUCUCCUGAAGGAACGUUGAAGACGACGACGUUGAUAGGCCGGGUGUGUAAGCGCAGCGAUGCGUUGAGCUAACCGGUACUAAUGAACCGUGAGGCUUAACCUU